AAGACUAUACUUUCAGGGAUAAUUUCUAUAGUUUCUGAUUUGAGAAAUGUGUUUGAAGUGUUUGGUCUCGCUAACCACGAUGAUGAGUCGUGAUAUUCCCUUCUGAGCAUGAAACUGACAGAGAGUAAUGAUUCAGUUCAUGUGUUCUGUCAUUGAUGACUGUUCUUUACUGAAGAGGAGAAUAUGAUCCGAGUGGU
rnacentral:snoRNA from 1 species